rnacentral:rRNA from 1 species
CCUACGGGUGGCAGCAGUGGGGAAUAUUGCACAAUGGGGGAAACCCUGAUGCAGCGACGCCGCGUGAGGGAUGAAGUAUCUCGGUAUGUAAAGUUCUAUCAGCAGGGAAGAAAAUGACGGUACCUGACUAAGAAGCCCCGGCUAACUACGUGCCAGCAGCCGCGGUAAUACGUAGGGGGCAAGCGUUAUCCGGAUUUACUGGGUGUAAAGGGAGCGUAGACGGCAUGGCAAGUCUGGUGGGAAAAGCCGGGGCCCAACCCCGGGACUGCAUUGGAAACUGUGAGGCUAGAGUGCAGGAGAGGUAAGCGGAAUUCCUAGUGUAGCGGUGAAAUGCGUAGAUAUUAGGAGGAACACCAGUGGCGAAGGCGGCUUACUGGACGGUAACUGACGUUGAGGCUCGAAAGCGUGGGGAGCAAACAGGAUUAGAUACCCGAGUAGUC